CCACGGCCCAGUGGAGUCUGCUCCCAGUGACAACAAUGCCCGUCUUAGAACUCAGUGUCCACGUGUACAAGGGCUGCAGCCUGCGUUCCCCAUGGUGCUAAGUGACACAACGUGGCAUUGGAAGGGAGAUCCGAGGAAGUAUAAUCACCAGGUACCCGAAGGAAGGAAGUCACUGGUCCCACAGAGAAUAAAUGGAGGUGCACAACAGGAAUAAAGAGCAAAAGCCAUAUCAACGUAAAUACGAGGUGCUCAGAAGGAGGCAGCACAGCUGGGCAGGCGGGUGUCCUCACAUUCCCACUGCCUGGAAUGUGAACAAGAUGGCUGGCACUCCAACAGAAAUCUUGGACACGAGGAGGCCUUGGCAAUGAAACAAAAGCUGGCGUGCUCCUGGAGGACAUUCCUCUGUAAUCCGCUGCCGCAGUAAUUGAAAGUGGGCGCAACACACCGGUCACUGCCACUCCGUUUUAACCUGGGAACCGUGAUGCCCCUGCAAGGCUGCGAGACCCGGAAGGCCACUUUCAUGUCCAGGGCUGUUCGGGUCCCUGACACCUGCUCCUGAAUGAUCCUGAAGGGGACGCCCCAGUAGUCCUGGGACAGCCGGAAGCAAGCACAGUAACUUGUAGAUGUCCCUGAGUUCCUGGGCUUUUUCUGGGGCAUCACUGCCGUGUUCAUGCAGACCUCUGGGAAGCCAGCGAGGAGCCAGGGCUGUGUCUCGGUGCCUGGU
rnacentral:lncRNA from 1 species